rnacentral:RNase_P_RNA from 1 species
GGAAUAAGCUGUUCUACCGCCGCGGCCUUGUGCCGGGGAGGAAAGUCCGGGCAGCGCAGAGUGCCGUACUUCCUAACGGGAAGGCAGCAGGACAGAGAUGACCGGCUGACAGCAAGUGCCACAGAAAAUUAAACCGCCUGGCAUGUUUUUUAUGUGUGAGGUAAGGGUGAAAAGGUGGAGUAAGAGACCACCGCCUGUUUGGGUAACCAACGGGGCACGGUAAACCUUACGGGCUGAAAGAUCAAAUAGGUGUUAGUUUGCGGGGCUACUCGUCUCCGUUCUGAAAAAGAGCAUUAACACGGGUAGAUCGUUAGAGGUUUCGGGCGACCGGAAUCCUGGAUAAAUGGUAGAAGUCCUGUAUCGAUGCAAAUCGGUUUGGGAGACAGAAUCCGGCUUACAGGCUUAUUUUUUUU